GAGAGAGGCCAAGAGCAGUAGGGACUGCUAAUCCAUACCCCCAUGGUUAA
rnacentral:tRNA from 1 species